CGUGAAGAAUUCGUAAAGCAAGUGAGUUAAAAAACUUCUUAUGCACUGAGGAAGUGGAAGAACCAGUCUGGUGAUACAAUCAUGCAUGUCACAACAACGGCGUUUAGGUGCUUCACUUGAUUGGUCUCGUGAGUGCUUUGCAAUGGAUGGGCAAAGAUCAAAAGCUGUCACCGAGGCUUUUGUACGGUUAUACUAAAAGGAAGGGCUUAUCUAUAGAGAUAAUAGGAAAGUUUGCUGUACAUCCAUUUAUUAGUGGAUGGAAGUUACCAAUCAUCUGUUAAUCAAAG